GCGGAUGUGGCGAAACUGGCAGACGCGCAAGAUUUAGGUUCUUGUACCGCAAGGCGUGCAGGUUCAAGUCCUGUCAUCCGCACCA
rnacentral:tRNA from 1 species